rnacentral:tRNA from 1 species
CAUGUUGUAGCUUAAUUAAAGCAUUAAAUUUUUAAUUUAAGGAUAAGAUAUAUCUUUUACGUGA